AUGGAGUGCCUGAGGCGGGUGAACCCGUUCCGCGCGUGCGCGGGGCUGCGGGUUCUGGGGUACCUCAUGCUGGCGCUCGUCGCCGCCAUCGUCGCCGCCUCCUACUACGCCGUCGUCGUCUACGCCUGGGGCCCACUGCUCCUACGCGGGGGCAACGGAGGCACCGUAGCCGCGGCCGCUUUCGUCCUCGCCGCCUUCCACCUCCUUCUUAUAAUGAUGCUAUGGUGCUACUUUAUGGUUGUUUUUACGAAUCCUGGAGCUGUACCUGAAAACUGGAGACAUGCUGCUGAAGGGGAUGGUAUGUAUGCGAACAACAGUAGCACCAUAUCAAAUAAUGUCGCUACAGAUUGUGUGAAUCCUCCAUCCACUUCAGAGGAGCAAGGACAUGCGCCUAGAUAUUGCUCUCGUUGUCAAAAUGGCAAACCUCCACGUUGCCAUCACUGUUCUAUCUGUGACAGAUGCGUACUAAAAAUGGAUCAUCACUGUGUUUGGGUAGUAAAUUGUGUCGGAGCAAGGAAUUACAAGUAUUUUCUCCUUUUCCUGGUGUAUACUUUCCUCGAGACUGUGCUGGAUACAUUGGUGCUACUUCCAAGCUUUAUUAUCUUCUUUCAUGAUGGAAGUAGGCGCCCCAGCUCAGCUGGUGAUAUUGCCAUUCUAUUUCUUGCUUUCGUUCUAAAUUUGGCGUUUGCGCUGAGCCUCCUUUGCUUCAUAUGCAUGCACACGUCUCUUGCUGCCAGUAAUACGACUUCUAUCGAGGUAUACGAGCGAAAGAAAACAUGCUCAUGGGAGUAUGACCUAGGAUGGAGAAAAAACUUGGAGCAGGUAUUUGGCACCAACAAGUUGCUCUGGUUUCUUCCUAUGUACUGUACCGAGGAUCUGCAAAACAUUCCUACAAUUCAAGGCCUUGAAUUCCCUACUCGUUCUGAUGCAGUGCUGUAA
rnacentral:rRNA from 1 species